ensembl:lncRNA
ACAAUUGCUGAAUGCUGAGAGUCUUCGCUGGAAGCAGUUGUGCCAGCAAAAAUCUCAUCAGAUUGUUUAGCCCGUAAGAACAGAGGAAGAACCUACCCUUGAGACUGAGUUAGACCUCCAGAAACAGAGCCCCAUUUAACAAUUCCUCAUUUGUCCCUGCCCCAGUGAAUUGAUGAGGCUGUGGGUUGUGCUCCAUACGUGUAGGAGAAGCGAAGGGCCUGGGAACCAGGCACCGGGAAGCUGGCAAUCCAUGCAGGAGGUUCCAAGGAGGCUCCCAGGGGCCAGCUCCCGAGCAUGAGUCACACCACCAAGCCAGACCCAGAUUUGCAUAGCACUUUUCAUUUCACUGUUUGGUCCAAAAUUCACGUAAUCCUCUAAUGAACUCCCAGGAAAACAAGGUAAAAAUUUCCCAAGGGGUUUCUACAAGAUUUCCAGCACUUCCUAAAUUAGCCCUGACCAGUAAAACCACGAGAGAAGACUUCCUGGCAGAGCCUGGCACUUCCAUUUCCAGUCCCAACCGAAAGCAGGAAGCAUUGAGACAAGUAAUAAUUCAACUCUUCAGUUGGCUUCCAAAAUUAUCCACAUUCAGGUCACCUGGCAUUCGCACCAAAGUGAGAUGGCAGGACCAGCAGACAAUGCAGCCUUAUGAUUCAAACAGAAGAAACACUCAUCUUGAUUCCUGUGUGCUGUUUGCCAGGAGAGUUAUCACCACUUGCGGGUGCACAAGCAUUGUGAGCUUGGCCAGAGUUCACAGCUCAGUGGAACCCACCAGGCAACCCUACAGCAUUUCCUGUCGUUCCCUUUGCCUCCCAGCUCUGUCCCUGCUGGGGGCCUACUGCUUAGACAUUCUCCAUCUGUGAUUCCUUUGAGUGCAGCUCAGACAUUUCCACACCUUCUUCUCCACAUACACAGAGUGGAGACAGACCCUUCAGAGGCUGGAGGUGGAGACUUCCAACAGAGCCAGCGCAACUCCAUCCUUUCAAAAAUGGAGAAAUGAGGCCUGAGAAGUGAGGUGAAUUGCUGCCUGGAUGCAUUCAUGCCAUCUUCCUAUUAACGAGAGAUGUUACCAAAAACACUUAGAUCAGUCACCCUUUACACUAAAGCAGCAAAUAAAUUGAACGAUUCUCAAGAGAGUGGGAGAGGUUGAUCUAGAGGCUUUGUCUCCCACGAUGUGGUCUCCAAAAACCACCCUGCAUUACAAUAGCUGUGGUAGAAAGACGAUCAACAGUUCAUACUCACAGGGCUCUUGUAUUGGCACACGUCACCUUAUUUCACUCCCUCAGCACCCUUUGAAAUAAAUACUAUGGGGAUAACAAUUUUCCAUGUGUGGAAACCAACACUCAGGGAAGUGAAGUUACUAGCCCAAAGUCACAGAGAACUUGGCGGAGCUGGGGUUGGGGUCUUUGUCCUUCCAGAACAUGUAUUCCUAACUGUUGUCCAUUCUGCUGACCAUAAUGAAACAUUACCUGAACGUCCGCUAGGAGUUGCACCCAACCACUCAGUCACUGAGUUAGGAGGUGGGGGGGGGGGGGGGGGUGGUUGCUUUUUGCUGAAUUCUCCCAUCAGCAAGUGAUUUCAUGGCCUGAGGGUUGAGGCAAACUGGAAUGUGUGCAAACCGACCGAGGAACUACCCAAAUCUCUCCUUAUCUGUGCAGCAUCUGCUGUGCAAUAACUGUGUCCCCAGCACAAGCCAGAGAGAACUCUCGAUGGCUUGAUCAAGCAGCCCUUGUGCAACGGCCUGCUGCAUCCAGAAAUCUCUUACCCAAGAUCACUUCAGCCUUGCCGUUCUUGAAUGCUGGAAGGCAGCAUAGCCAGCGUGGGGUCCCGUGGUCUCAGCUCGCCGGUUCUAAUUCUCCCUCUGCUGUGCAUUAGUGUGGGCUGGGGUGAGUCGUUUCACCCCAGGCCUCAUUUCCUUCUCUUUAAAAUGUCAUA